GACGAACGCUGGCGGCGUGCUUAACACAUGCAAGUCGAGCGGUAAGGCCCUUUCGGGGUACGACGAGCGGCGAACGGGUGAGUAACACGUGGGUGACCUGCCCUCAGCUCUGGGAGUAAGCCUGGGAAACCGGGUACUAAUACCGGAUAUGACUCCAUGACGCAUGUUGUGGGGUGGAAAGCCUUGUGCGGCUGAGGAUGGGCCCGCGGCCUAUCAGCUUGUUGGUGGGGUGAUGGCCUACCAAGGCGACGACGGGUAGCCGGCCUGAGAGGGCGACCGGCCACACUGGGACUGAGACACGGCCCAGACUCCUACGGGAGGCAGCAGUGGGGAAUCUUGCGCAAUGGGCGAAAGCCUGACGCAGCGACGCCGCGUGAGGGAUGACGGCCUG
rnacentral:rRNA from 1 species